UACCUCGCUAUCAUAUUUUAGAGGGAAAACUUCAAAACCCCUGUAGUUUCGUCGUUUCUCAUCUUGCCCCCCUGUGAUUUAAAAUAUAUCAAAUUACUUCCAUGUGGUUUCAUUUUUUUCUUUUCGCUAGCUUUUUCGUUAAUAUUUUAUUAAAUUAUAUACAAAAAAUUUUAUAUACCUAUCUAGAUUUAUCAAAUAUUCACUUUAGUAUCCUUUAAAUUAACUUUAUUACUGAUUUAAAAAAAAAAUAAUGAAGUUGAUAAGAAAAAGAGAAAAAAGAAACCAUAGGAGGACAAAUUGAUACAUUUUAAGCCACAGGAGGGCAAAGUGAGAAACUACGAAAUCACAGAGGGGUUUUUGAAGUUUUCCCUAUUUUAGAUUUUAAAUUUUAGAUUAUAUUAUUUUUAGUUUUUAAUUAUCAAUUGUUGCAUCAUUGGUUUCCAACAUUUUCUUUUUUUUUUUUUUUGAUUUACAACUUUUUUCAAUCAAUUUUAUAAUCCCUACUCUUUAUUACAAUGGAAUUCUUGUGGCUAAAAGGCCGUUAAAAUUAAAGAAAUACUAGCUAAGGGCCGCACGAUGAAGCGGAAAGAAAAUAUUUUAGUUAUUUUUUAAAAUAUUUAUUUUUUUAGAUACGUAUAAUUUUAUAAGUAUAUAAAAAUAUAUAGCAAAAUGAGAAAUAGAAAAUAUACCCGCACAAAUCAGAUAUAAUAUUUUACACUAACUUUAUAUAAAGCAUAUUCAUUUCAAAAUUUUACAAAACUAAAUAAAAUUAAAAUUAAAUAAAGUAUUACG
rnacentral:lncRNA from 1 species